rnacentral:rRNA from 1 species
GACGAACGCUGGCGGCGUGCUUAACACAUGCAAGUCGAACGGAAAGGCCCUGCUUUUGUGGGGUGCUCGAGUGGCGAACGGGUGAGUAACACGUGAGUAACCUUCCCUUUACUUUGGGAUAACUUCAGGAAACUGGGGCUAAUACCGGAUAGGAGCUCCUGCUGCAUGGUGGGGGUUGGAAAGUUUCGGCGGUUGGGGAUGGACUCGCGGCUUAUCAGCUUGUUGGUGGGGUAGUGGCUUACCAAGGCUUUGACGGGUAGCCGGCCUGAGAGGGUGACCGGCCACAUUGGGACUGAGAUACGGCCCAGACUCCUACGGGAGGCAGCAGUGGGGAAUAUUGCACAAUGGGCGGAAGCCUGAUGCAGCAACGCCGCGUGCGGGAUGACGGCCUUCGGGUUGUAAACCGCUUUCGCCUGUGACGAAGCGUGAGUGACGGUAAUGGGUAAAGAAGCACCGGCUAACUACGUG